UACAACGAAACUGCGAAUGGCUCGGUAAAACAGCAAUAAUUUAUUCGGGGGUAACUGCUACUUGGAUAACCGUAGUAAAGCUAGAGCUAAUACGUGCCAUAAAAGCGAGCUUCGCUCGUGGUGCUAAGUAUUAGGUACAACCCAAUUUUAUUGGUGAUUCAUACUUAUUUUCUGAUCGCACUCUGUGCGACACCCCGAAUAAAUUUCUGACCUAUCAACUAUGAUGGUAAGGUAGUGUCUUACCAUGGUUGUGACGGGUAACGGACCGUGGGUGCGGGAUUCCGGAGAGGGAGCCUGAGAAACGGCUACCACAUCCAAGGAAGGCAGCAGGCGCGCAACUUACCCAAUCCGAACUUCGGGAGGUAGUGACAAAAAAUAUCAAUAGGGGGACCAAUGGUCUUCCUAAUUGGAAUGAAAACAACCUAAACACCUUAUUGAGGAACCAGCAGAGGGCAAGUCUGGUGCCAGCAGCCGCGGUAAUUCCAGCUCUGUAAGCGUAUACCAAAGUUGUUGCAGUUAAAACGCUCGUAGUCGAACUUUGGCGUCAGUUACUGAAACUCCUACUGGAUGUUGACGUAUCUACGCCUUUGUGGAGGGGGGUGCGGCGGUACUUUACUGUAUGGCCGUAUUUCCGCCACUUUUUACUGUGAAAAAAUUAGAGUGUUCAAAGCGAGCGUUUGCCAUGAAUACAUUAGCAUGGAAUAAUAGAAUAGGACCUGGUCCUGUUUUAUUGGUUUGUCAGUAUCAGGUAAUGAUUAACAGGGACGGUCGGGGGCAUUUGUAUUCCAGCGCUAGAGGUGAAAUUCUUGGAUUGCUGGAAGACAAACAGCUGCGAAAGCGUCUGCCAAGGACGUUUUCAUUGAUCAAGAACGAAAGUAAGGGGAUCGAAGACGAUCAGAUACCGUCGUAGUCUUUACUAUAAACUUUGAGAACUAGGACAUCGGACGUGGCCUUAUUGGUACGUUCGGCACCUUCCGGGAAACCAAAGUGUUUGCUUUCUGGGGGGAGUAUGGUCGCAAGUCUGAAACUUAAAGGAAUUGACGGAAGGGCAUCACCGGGUGUGGAGCCUGCGGCUUAAUUUGACUCAACACGGGAAAACUUACCAGGUCCAGACAUAGUAAGGAUUGACAGAUUGAGAGCUCUUUCUUGAUUCUAUGGUUGGUG
rnacentral:rRNA from 1 species